ensembl:lncRNA
UAUGCUCGUAUGGAUCUAGUAGAGCUUUCUAUUAGAUCUAACAGAUCUAAUAUGAUCUUAUUUAUGUUGUUGCUCAAAUUGUCUUGCUUGGGCCAUUGGGAUCUCUUUCAGUUGUGUCCCUUUUGACAUUGAGUGUGGGUGUUUUUCUUUUUGAGCCCUGCCUUACUUUCUGGUGCUACAAGAUUCUCCAGGCUCAUCUUGUAUGUUUCCUAUUCUAGUCCUAGAGUCAGUUAUUUCUCCAAGAAGCCCUGUUCCUCUUAUCGAAGAAUGGUACUGAAACCAAAUCUGGGCUCCAUUGUUUGUCUUUUCACUGCUGAGUUUUGAGAAUUCUUUGUUUUCCAGAUACCAGUCCUUUGUCGGAUAUGUGGUUUGCACAUAUUUUAUACCAGUCUGUGGCUUUGUCUUUUCACCCUCUAAACAGAGUCUUUCACAGAACAAAAGUUUUUGAUUUUGAUGAAAUCCUAUUUAUCAAUUUUUCCUUUUAAGGAUCGGACUUUUAGUGUCAAGUCUCUAAAAACUCCUUGCUUACUCCCAGUUCCUGAAGAUUUUCUCCUGUUUUUUUCUAAAAGUGUUCUAUUUUACAUUUGUAUUUGCUACAUUUACGUUUGCUCAGUCUGACAACUGCUGCCAAGAGGAAACCUUGGCUUGAUGGAAACUUCCAAGGGCUAGUGGAGAGCCACGGUGCUACACAGCUUACACUGAAGUUACCACGUCGUCAGCUUUUGAAACAAACAGCCGUCACUGAACCCUCAGCAAGAUAUUUGUUUACCUCCUGGUCUGACCUGUUAAGACUGUGAACUCCUUCAGGGUAGGUAUUGUGUUAUUCAUUACUUUUGUAUUCCAAGCCCCAGGGUGGGCACAUUUAAUUGCUGUAGUUCUCCAAGGGUGGUCCAUGGACACUGGGGAUCUUAGGGACCCUUUCAGGGGUUACAAGGUCAAAACUAUUUUCUUAGUAACUAAGACAUGAUUUGCCUUUUUUGCUGUGUUGCUGACAUUUGCACUGUUGAUGGAAAAGCAAUGGUAGGUAAAACUGCUGGUGACUUAGCAGGAAUUAGGGCAAUGGAAACAAAUUGUACCAUCAGUCGUUGUAUCGUCCACUGCCAUGCAUUCAUAAUAACAACAGUGCCAGUGUCACUUAAGAAUACUCUUCAUGAAGCAGUAAAAAUUACUAAUUUUAUUAACUCUUAACCCUGGAGUUCACACCUUUUUCAUAUUCCAUGUGCCCAGAUGGUUAGAAUGCAUAAAGCAAUUCUGCAUACUGAAGUAAGCUGGUCUCUUGAGGAAGAAGCGCUUAACCAGCACUUGACUGGUUAUUUGGUUAAGUGAAAUUUUUUUUGUGUGUGAGAAAGAUUAGCCCCGAGCUAACAUCUGUGCCAAUCUUCCCCUAUUUCGGACAUGGGAUGCCUCUACAGCACAGCUGAGGAGUGGAGUGUGUCCACAACCGGGAUCCAAACCUGCGAACCCUGGGCCGCCCAAGUGGAGCGCAUGGAACUUUUAACCACUUAGCCACAGGCUGGCCCCUUGACUGCUUAUUUGAAUUGGUAACUGGGCUAGCUACUCUUUUUUCAUACAACAUCAUUUUUAUUUGAAAAUACAAUUGACAGACAAACCAUGG